UGAUGCUGGGAGGAAGCACAGUGAUGAUUAUAACGAAGAUGUGUGUUACAAUAAUAUCAAGUAUGCAAUGAUCAGCCAACUUCAGUAUCCACCCCCAGAAUUUGCAGAUGUCAUAAAAAAUCAUUUCUUCUGGAAAAAACAUAGGAUUCUUGAGGAAGUGGAUGGUUGGGUGAAGAAGCAUGGUAAUAAGAGACUAGAGAGAAUGGCACAAAACCUCAAACAGGAACUUAAAAAACUGCAUCAACCUCCCCCCAGUCCUGUGUCCUAACACACCACGGCUUCUUGUUAGAUCCUCCCCUCUGUCUCAGUGUAACUGACAAAUCAGCUUUCCUCAGUGCAACUGACAAAAUUACUUUGAGUGGAAAGCCCCCCCCCAAUCAGCACAUGCAUUUUGUGCCAAUCUACAGAACAAAUUUGUGACAAGAAAAAGAAAGUGAACCAUUGGAGUUCCCUUCAUCUUUGGUCUUUCUUACAUCAGAACAAGGAGGAGUUUGUUCUGUUAAAAAAACAACAACAAACUUUGGACACAAAAUUAAAAUUUUGUGAAAAUAACAUAUUGGCGUAGUUGUAGUAGCAUUCUUGGUCUUGCUACCAUAAUAUUUAUCGUAAUUACCGGCAUUCACCUUUGUGUAAUUUCAAUUGCAUAUAAGUGUUAUCAUAUCAAUGUAGAGCACCUGUAUCAAGAUAAUAAGCCAAAAGGUUCAGUAUUCAUGUGAGAAGUUGUUAUUAUAUGGUUGUUGAUAUUUCGAAUGCAUCCAACAACGCUAGUUCUUGCAAUCAUUUCAUUUUUGUUACUGAAAUUUAUGAUUCAACAAGAUAAACAUUGUUU